rnacentral:SRP_RNA from 1 species
GCCAUGCGCCUGUAAUCCCAGCUACUAGGGAGGCUGAGGCUGGAGGAUCGCUUGAGCUCAGGAGUUCUGGGCUACAGUGCGCUACGCCGAUCGGGUGUCCGCACUAAGUUCGGCAUCAAUAUGGUGACCUCCCGGGAGCGGGGGACCACCAGGUUGCCUAAGGAGGGGUGAACUGGCCCAGGUCGGAAACGGAGCAGGUCAAAACUCCCGUGCUGAUCAGUAUUCUUAAAAGGUUUCAUGGUUGUUAUUGUCACGAGGUCAAAUAUUUACAGGGGAGAUUCUACCAU